GAUGAAGAACGCAGCGAAAUGCGAUAAGUAAUGUGAAUUGCAGAAUUCCGUGAAUCAUCGAAUCUUUGAACGCACAUUGCGCCCCCUGGUAUUCCGGGGGGCAUGCCUGUCCGAGCGUCAUUGCAACCCUCAAGCGCGGCUUGUGUGUUGGGCUUCGUCCCCCCGUGGACGUGCCCGAAAGGCAGUGGCGGCGUCCCGAAUGGUGCCCGAGCGUAUGGGAACUCUCUUCCGCUCGAACCGGCCCAUUCGGCGCUGGUCGAACCCCAAUUUUUUUUUACCGGUUGCCCUCGGAUCAGGUAGGGAUACCCGCUGAACUUAAGCAUAUCAAUAAGCGGAGGA
rnacentral:misc_RNA from 1 species